CCUACGGGGGGCAGCAGUGGGGAAUAUUGCACAAUGGGGGAAACCCUGAUGCAGCAACGCCGCGUGAGUGAAGAAGGAGUGCGGUAUGUAAAGCUCUAUCAGCAGGGAAGAGAAUGACGGUACCUGACGAAGAAGCCCCGGCUAACUACGUGCCAGCAGCCGCGGUAAUACGUAGGGGGCGAGCGUUAUCCGGAUUUACUGGGUGUAAAGGGAGCGUAGACGGUUCGGCAAGUCUGAAGUGAAAGCCCGUGGCUUAACCGCGGAACGGCUUUUGAAACUGUGGAACUGGAGUGCUGGAGAGGCACGCGGACUUCCUCGUGUAGCGGUUACCUGCGUCGAUAUUAGGAGGACCCCCAGUGGCGUAGGCGGCUUGCUGGACCGUCACUGCCGUUGCGGCUCG
rnacentral:rRNA from 1 species